GAUGAACGCUGGCGGCGUGCCUAAUACAUGCAAGUCGAGCGAACAGACGAGGAGCUUGCUCCUCUGACGUUAGCGGCGGACGGGUGAGUAACACGUGGAUAACCUACCUAUAAGACUGGGAUAACUUCGGGAAACCGGAGCUAAUACCGGAUAAUAUAUUGAACCGCAUGGUUCAAUAGUGAAAGACGGUUUUGCUGUCACUUAUAGAUGGAUCCGCGCCGCAUUAGCUAGUUGGUAAGGUAACGGCUUACCAAGGCAACGAUGCGUAGCCGACCUGAGAGGGUGAACGGCCACACUUGAACUGAGAAACGGUCCAGACUCCCACGGGAGGCAGCAGUAGGGAAUCUUCCGCAAUGGGCGAAAGCUUGACGGAGCAACGCCGCGUGAGUGAUGAAGGUCUUCGGAUCGUAAAACUCUGUUAUUAGGGAAGAACAAAUGUGUAAGUAACUAUGCACGUCUUGACGGUACCUAAUCAGAAAGCCACGGCUAACUACGUG
rnacentral:rRNA from 1 species